rnacentral:tRNA from 1 species
GGAAUUGUGGCUCAGCAGUAGACUGCUUGUCUAGCACGUACGAGGCCCUGGGUUCGAUCCUCAGCACCA